rnacentral:rRNA from 1 species
GGGACAGCCUCCUGGCAUCAUACUGACACUGAGGCUCGAAAGCGUGGGUAGCAAACAGGAUUAGAUACCCUGGUAGUCCACGCCGUAAACGAUGUCUACUAGUCGUUGGGUCCCUUGAGGACUUAGUGACGCAGCUAACGCAAUAAGUAGACCGCCUGGGGAGUACGGCCGCAAGGUUAAAACUCAAAUGAAUUGACGGGGGCCCGCACAAGCGGUGGAGCAUGUGGUUUAAUUCGAUGCAACGCGAAGAACCUUACCUGGUCUUGACAUAUCUAGAAUCCUGCAGAGAUGCGGGAGUGCCUUCGGGAAUUAGAAUACAGGUGCUGCAUGGCUGUCGUCAGCUCGUGUCGUGAGAUGUUGGGUUAAGUCCCGCAACGAGCGCAACCCUUGUCCUUAGUUACCAGCGGGUUAAGCCGGGAACUCUAAGGAUACUGCCAGUGACAAACUGGAGGAAGGCGGGGACGACGUCAAGUCAUCAUGGCCCUUACGACCAGGGCUACACACGUGCUACAAUGGUAGGUACAGAGGGCAG